GCGAGCGCAGGCCCCAGGCUCGGGCGCGGCGGCGGGACAGCACCUACCUUCCCGGCUUCGGGUCCGGGAGUGCGGGGCGCGGAGCCGCCGGAGCGCUGCCUCCCUCCUUCCUCCUCCCCUCGCCCCCGCCCCGCGGCGCGACACACAAUACUCGCCGGAAGCGGAAGCCGCGCCGAGGCUCGUGUCAGUGGAAGCUGGGGUGUCGGCGGGCGGCCGCGGCCGGGUCUAGCGGUGCCUGCGGAAGAAGGAGGAGGAGGGCUGGCGAUGAGAAGCAGCAGGGGGAAUCAAGGGCAAGAAGGGACCCAGAGGGGCAGGUGGCUGAGAUGCUGGCGUCCAGGUGACCCGAGGAAUCCUCUGGAGAUACAGGCCCGCGCAUGCGCGUGCUCGAGCGCUGAAGCCCAUUGCCCGCAGGGCGCUGGACUGGCGCCCCGGCCGGCGAGGCUGUCUAGUCCAGGCUCCAGGCCCCGGCUCUGGCCAGGCGCCGCCGCCUCCCGGUGCAGCUGAAAGUCGACGAAGAGGGCGGGGCGGGGGCGGCUUGUGGACUUCCACACUUUUCCUCUCUUCGGGCCAGUCUGGGGAGAGGGUGGCUAGCUGUGGCGGCGGCCAAUUACGUGGCGGACCUGCGGGGCUAAGCUGGCACGUCACUUCCGACUAGUGGAGUUUUUAGCCUUUUAACAUUCAAGGAUUAGAGCUCCCUCUUUGCCCACUAGCAGGGCAUUAGCUGGUGCUGAAGACAGUGGCUGCUUGGCGAGCCUGGAUCUCCAAGUGACCCCCUCAGCAACUCCUGAUGAACAGGGACUUGCACUUAGGAAUCUGUUACAGUGAGCACAGAAGCAGACCUGUGGGCUCAUAGUCUUCACCCCCCACCCAUAUAUACAAGAUGAACAGAGUGGAGGUUAAACAACUUGACUAAACAACACAGUUCAUGGUAAAGCCCAAGACUGUACCUGCCCAUCCACUGCCUUUUCCAUGUAUCCUGGAACUGAGCAUAGACCUCUUCCCAGGCAGAGCUGACAGCAAGUAAAGGAGAUCAUAAUCAGGGGACCAAACAACUUUGUCUAAAGUGUGAAUGUCACCUAAGGAGAAGCUGUGAGAUCAGAAGGGUGGGGCAGAGGAGCAGACACCAUGAGGGAGAGUCCUUGGGGGUACAUCUGCCAGACUGACACUGUCUGGCCUGGGCAGUGGAGGGGCUAGCAGGAACCACAGGUACUGGUGGUGUGGCUACUACCGUUACAACUGCCUGUGCUUGGACAUGGACCCUCUGCAAUAUGCGGCAGUUUCAUUCAUUGCCCCCUACAUUCUACACCAAGUAGAAAUGGAAGGCAAUUGGAUACUUCACAGACAAGAUCUAAGUGGAGAAGGAAUGCGUCCUGUGGCUGCAGAGAUCCUUGGAGCUUGGAGGGGAGAGCUUGAGCCCCACUGAUGAUGACCUCCCACAGCUCGCCAACUCAGCCCUCCCUAAGUCCCCAUCGGGGGCCAAUUCUCACUCUGGGGUUGGGGGGACUCCACCAUAGCUCAUCCAUCAUAGGGAUGUUGGUAUCUACUGUGGGUUGGGUAGGGCCGAUGUGCUGAGGAUGGCUCCCCCACAAGCAAGAGAUGUGGAUUUGGGGAGCUUCCCAUCUUGUGUUGAAGGAACAUAACUCAGAAUAAUAAGAGCCAACUAUAACAAACCCACAGCCAACAUCAUACUGAAUGGGCAAAAGCUGCAGGCAUUCCCCUUGAAAAGUGGCACAGGAUAAGGAAGCCCUUUCUCACCACUCCUAUUCAAUAUAGUGUUGAAAGUCCUGAUCACAGCAGUCAGGCAACAGAAAUAAUAAAGGGCAUCCAAAUAGGAAGAGAGGAAGUCAAACUAUCCUUGUUUGCAGACAGUAUGAUUCUAUAUCUAGAAAACCCCAUAGCCUCAGCCCAAAAGGUCCUUCAUCUGAUAAUUUCAGCAAAGUUUCAGGAGACAAAAUCAGUGUACAAAAAUCACUAACAUUCCUAUACACAGUCGCCAAGCCAAGAGCCAAAUCAGGAGCACAAUCCCAUUCAUAAUUGCCACAAAAAAGAAUAAAAUACCCAGGAAUGCAGCUAACCAAGGAAGUAAAGGAUCUCUACAAUGAGAAUCACAAACGCUGCUCAAAGAAAUCAGAGAUGACACAAACAAAUGGAAAAACUUUCCAUGCUCAUGGCUAGGAAGAAUCAAUAUCAUUAAAGUGGCCAUACUACCCAAAGC
rnacentral:lncRNA from 10 species